GACGAACCGUGCGAACGUUGUUCGGAAUCACUGGGCUUAAAGGGCGCGUAGGCGGGAUGGCAAGUCGGUCGUGAAAUCUCUCGGCUCAACCGAGAAACGUCGGCCGAUACUGCCGUUCUUGAGGGAUGCAGAGGAGACUGGAAUUCCCGGUGUAGCGGUGAAAUGUGUAGAGAUCGGGAGGAACACCGGUGGCGAAGGCGGGUCUCUGGGCAUUUCCUGACGCUGAGGCGCGAAAGCGUGGGGAGCAAACGGG
rnacentral:rRNA from 1 species